rnacentral:rRNA from 1 species
UACAUGGGGUGCAAACGUUGCUCGGAAUUAUUGGGCGUAAAGCGCGCGUAGGCGGUUACUUAAGUCGGAUGUGAAAGCCCUCGGCUUAACUGAGGAAGUGCACCCGAAACUGAGUAGCUAGAGUACGAAAGAGGGUCGCGGAAUUCCCGGUGUAGAGGUGAAAUUCGUAGAUAUCGGGAGGAACACCGGGUGGCGAAGGCGGCCCGGACCGGUCAGACUGACGCUGAGGCGAAGACUAGGGGAGCAAACGGGAUU